CGUGGGCAAUCUGCCCUUCACUCUGGGACAAGCCCUGGAAACGGGGUCUAAUACCGGAUACGACACUCUCGGGCAUCCGAUGAGUGUGGAAAGCUCCGGCGGUGAAGGAUGAGCCCGCGGCCUAUCAGCUUGUUGGUGAGGUAACGGCUCACCAAGGCGACGACGGGUAGCCGGCCUGAGAGGGCGACCGGCCACACUGGGACUGAGACACGGCCCAGACUCCUACGGGAGGCAGCAGUGGGGAAUAUUGCACAAUGGGCGAAAGCCUGAUGCAGCGACGCCGCGUGAGGGAUGACGGCCUUCGGGUUGUAAACCUCUUUCAGCAGGGAAGAAGCGAAAGUGACGGUACCUGCAGAAGAAGCGCCGGCUAACUACGUGCCAGCAGCCGCGGUAAUACGUAGGGCGCGAGCGUUGUCCGGAAUUAUUGGGCGUAAAGAGCUCGUAGGCGGUCUGUCGCGUCGGAUGUGAAAGCCCGGGGCUUAACCCCGGGUCUGCAUUCGAUACGGGCAGACUAGAGUGUGGUAGGGGAGAUCGGAAUUCCUGGUGUAGCGGUGAAAUGCGCAGAUAUCAGGAGGAACACCGGUGGCGAAGGCGGAUCUCUGGGCCAUUACUGACGCUGAGGAGCGAAAGCGUGGGGAGCGAACAGGAUUAGAUACCCUGGUAGUCCACGCCGUAAACGGUGGGAACUAGGUGUUGGCGACAUUCCACGUCGUCGGUGCCGCAGCUAACGCAUUAAGUU
rnacentral:rRNA from 2 species